CCGGCCACAAGGGUGCUCUGGGCCCUGGGUCCGGGAGAGGAGAGCCUGGCCCCGGAGCGGUCUUUUACCCCACUUUCCCAGGAUGCACCUAUGUCUCAGCUGGGACCAGGAAGGAGAAGCCAUGAUGGAAACCUGGAAGUGACAUUCUGGAGGGAGGGGCCACAACAAUCCCUUCAAUAUUCCCACAGGACCAGAUGGGUUACCUGACCUGAUGACAUGGGGCAACAAAACCUUCACAGAUGCCAUAUGGGAAGCCCCACUGCUCUGCCACGCCAGCAAAUCUGCAGCGGAAUUUAAUAAUUGUCACCCUACAAACUGUUCCACUAGGACUCCCCAUCCUGUGGCCUGGAGGCGCAGCGGAGGUGGGUA